rnacentral:lncRNA from 1 species
UCAGGAUUUAAAUGAAAUCUAUGCCAUGCCAAAGUGAUAGGUCCUCUCAUUGAUAUACACUCCAACACUCACGUGUUUAGGGCUUAUGUGUUUAAAUCUCUCAAAUUCAAUCAAUGAAUAUAAUCUACCAUAAGCUUGCUCUUCAAUCUUAUCUCCAUUACUAACAUAUUACAAGCAAUGCAUGAAUCAAAAGGUCUUAUUUUUCGGUUGUAAUGGGGCUAGGGGUAAGGUGAGGUAAAAGAAAGUAAAAGGAAGGGUUCAAACCAAAGAAAGUAGAGCAUUCUGAAAAAUGAUAUUUCAAACAAGAUAUUCCAUCAAAACACAUAAAUUUUCCAUCUUUAAGCACCAAUGCUUAACUUCUUUUGAUUUCAAGCUCUUUCAACAUAAAACCUUAAGAACAUAAAGGAAUACUUUGUUUUUUUUUGUUGUUUUUUUUUUUUUUUUUUUUUUCUCCUUUGGCAACUUUGCCCAUCUUUUCAUCAAGCAUCACUUCUUCUUUCUUUUCACAUUAUUUCCAACCAUAAUUCCAUGAGAUAUCACAAGUAUAUGCUCUACUAAUCCUUGGCCAGGGGAAAAGGAAAACAUAUAAAAAGUUAAGGCUUAUACAUGGAUAAAGCAAAGAAAAGAUAAACAAGCUCAAAAGAGGCUUACUAAGGACAAUUUGCUUUAGGUUGGCUUUUUGGCUCAAGUGGUUAAAAUUUCUAAUGCCUUUAUCAUCUUCAUGUAUAUAUGUAAUGCGAAUGUAAUCUCAACAAGAUAUGAAGCAAGUUCUAGAGAUACAUAUCAUUGAAAGAAUGCACAAUAAAAAAAAAAAAUAAUGUUGAAGGCUCAAAAGCUUGCAUUGGUAUAACACUAUAAAGUCAACAUGGCAUAUUCUCAAAGUCAAUCCUUAAAGCAAUUAAAUGUUUAAAAUUUUCAUGCACACUCAUUCAUUUGAUUUAUAUCUUCA